rnacentral:tRNA from 1 species
GCAGUAGUGGUUCGGUGGUAGAAUUCUCGCCUUCCAUGUGGGAGACUCAGGUUUGAUUCCUGGUCAAUGCA